UGGGGAAUAUUGGACAAUGGGCGAAAGCCUGAUCCAGCAAUGCCGCGUGAGUGAAGAAGGCCUUCGGGUUGUAAAGCUCUUUCAGUUGAGAAGAAAAGGCUGUGACUAAUAAUCACAGCUCAUGACGGUAUCGACAGAAGAAGCACCGGCUAACUACGUGCCAGCAGCCGCGGUAAUACGUAGGGUGCAAGCGUUAAUCGGAAUUACUGGGCGUAAAGGGUGCGCAGGCGGUUCUGUAAGUCAGAUGUGAAAUCCCCGGGCUUAACCUGGGAACUGCGUUUGAAACUACAGGGCUAGAGUGUGGCAGAGGGGGGUGGAAUUCCAUGUGUAGCAGUGAAAUGCGUAGAGAUAUGGAAGAACAUCGAUGGCGAAGGCAGCCCCCUGGGUUAACACUGACGCUCAGGCACGAAAGCGUGGGGAGCAAA
rnacentral:rRNA from 1 species